GCCCGAUGAACCUGAAUAUCCAUUAUGGAAAAUUCAUCAUUAGAGUUAUAAUAUUAAAAUAAUAUUAUACAAAUAGUGUGCAUUUUUUCCAUAUAAGGACAUUGUAAUCUAUUAACAUAUAAAAAUUUAUCAUAAAAUAUGGCUUAUAGUUUAUUCCAAUUAAAUUGCUUGCAUUUUAACACAGAAUAAAUGUCAUUAAUUUGAUAAAGUGUUGAUAGAUUAAUAAGAAUACAGUGCGUUAAUUUUUCGGAAUUAUAUAAUGGCAUAAUUAUCAUUGAUUUUUAUGUUUAUUAUAUGCACUUGUAUGAUUAACAAUGCGAAAGAUUCAGGAUACUUCGGG
rnacentral:rRNA from 1 species